UCGAAAGAGGAGGGAUGCGCGGAAGAGGCAAGUGGCUGCAAUGAAUUUGCAUUGAAAGUGGCUCUUAAACGAUUUCUCCCACCCAACUGAUCCACCCUCGGCUGUGUCUUCGAUACUACGUUAACCUCUAAGCAGAUUGCAAGGCAAAUUUCUUACAAAUUUGAUUUAGAUAUUUCACAUCUGCACUCCAACAAGUAAAGAAAUAUUCGUUUAUGCAACUUCUUAUACGUGAAGAAAGCAAGAAGAAACGAUUAUGCGUGUGCACAAUUAUUCUAACCUCUCUUUGGAAAUCAUUUUGAUCACGUGUCAAGUUCAUAGGUUUAUUGAGGUUUAUUUUCAAAGAAUUCAAUGCUUAUCAGGAUUGAUCGCAUACCUGGCAUGACGAGGCAUGCGUCGCCACAAUAAUUACCGGGGGAUGCGUGUCUUUACGCAUAGGGCCCACGUGGAGGGGUUGUGUAGAGGGUGGCACACACAACUUACGGCUCCAACUAUGAUUCACCUGAGCCAUCGUGUUACUAUAGUUACAUAUUUGGUAGUUACUGAUGAGAAGGCUAAAAUUUUCGUUUUGCCAUUUUUUGCACUGGAAAAGUAUAGAAAUUAAUGAGAAUCUAAAGGAGGGAGAUCAGAAAGAAUAUGCAUAUUCUUAAUAUUAUUGGAAAAUGUUUAUGAAAUAUUGACAAUGUAUAAAUGUUUA